UGUAGCUUUUAUAUGAAUGAACAGAUAAAGCUAGGAAGUGAGAAAAAACAAAAUGUUUCGUAGAUAGAACAUACAAAAUUUCUGGUGCGGCUGGUCCAGUGUACGACAAGGUUUGUCAUAUUACCAAUGAGGUUCUUUUUGGAUCCGGGUAUCUGUCUGCUAUGAGAUAGUUAAUGCAUCCAGCGCAGUGUACUGCAAACAGAGUUACCUGCAGUUGAAUUAAAAGGGAAAUCAUGUGUAAUUUUGACGGGGCUGAUGUGAGUAAUUAUGAGCAGUAGGGUGGAAAAAGACAAGCAAAAGGGAACUGACCCGUCGAAGACGCCAGAGUCGGAGCAUAUUGAGUGCUUUAAAACCAAAACCGCUGCUGUGAUUUGUGAACAGAAGGCUGAAAGGUUGAAGUGGUGCUGUUGAACUGACAUCGAAAAUGAAC